rnacentral:lncRNA from 1 species
CACGUUUCCUCGAAGCAGACAACAAGAAAACUUUGCUUAUAAUAUUGGUAAUUUACUCUGAUAAUUUAUCAGGUUGAAACAAUUAUAGGCAUACUAUAGAUCUAAUGAGCUUUUAACCGACAAACAUGCCAGUUUGACAUAGCAUGAUAAAUAAAUCUCUUAUUUUUGUAAUUUGACAAAAAAAAAAAACUACAAAAAAACACACUCCUGUAUAAGACAAC